GGCGACGUGGGCGGUUCGCUGCCCGCGACGUCAUGAGAAGUCCACUGAACCUUAUCAUUUAGAGGAAGGAGAAGUCGUAACAAGGUUUCCGUAGGUGAACCUGCGGAAGGAUCAUUG
rnacentral:rRNA from 1 species